UGUUUUCGACCAAACAACUUGAAAAAUUCCAUGUUUAGUGUUUUUAUUUAUAUCACACAAUGUACCUUGUUCUAAAUUCGCAGACGUUUUAUAGAUAACUUUAUUAUAUUACUUUGAUUAUAAUGCUAGUACCCUUGCUUGCAAAUUGUCAUCAAGUUUUUGGUGUUGUUGUUGAGGGAUUAUUGAUAUUUUCAACAAGGCAUAGUGUGUGACUUGUUUUGUUUUAGUUUUUUUAUUUUAAUUUCUUGUAUUUUAUCAUUAAUUAU
rnacentral:lncRNA from 1 species